UAAACUCAAUUUUCAUCAACCUGUUGUGAACACUACUUUUAAAUAAGUAAGUAGUAAUUUGGGGUUGGAGAACUUGCUUAACUUGAUAUAUCCCAGUUAAGUCAAAUUAGAAAAAAUAAUUUCUUGUACCCAGUGUCCUUUGGGCGUUCUAUCAGACAUGCGCAGAUCUGCCCUGCCCACUUUCGCGCUCUUUCCAACACCUUUCUCAGUUAUUUUCGCCAUUGUGGGUUUACUUGUCCUCAGCACACUGAUUUGGUAAGUACAUAUUUUACUCUUUUGUAAACCGUCGAUUUGUCUUGUUGUAGUGUAGUAGCCUGUGUGCUGCCAGGGAGGAGAAGUGUCAAUUACAUCAAAUAUCACCGCUAGCAAGCAUGCUAUAUGACCGUGACAGGAACCUCAUCAUUUUCAGAAACAAAUGUAGACUACAGUUUAUGGUAGACUCCCAUUUUAUGCCGGCCGGCGUUUUGAAUUCUUGACAGACGGGGCUCGUAACGUUUUUAGGCGAUGGGAGAGGUUUUUAAAACCGAUUUAAAACAGUUACCGAGCGGUUUUAAGUUAGGUAGACCGAGGGGAGGUUCGCUUCCUGUUUUAAAAAUAAAAACACUAAUUCUAUCGUUAGCGGGUGUUUUAUUUUGUGAAACUAACAGGAAGUGCCUUAAUCACUACGGCUAGCUUGAGUAGCGCCGAAUUUGCACGUUGUGGAUCUAAACGGCUACUUUCUCACGUAAAAAUGUUAGAAAUGUCGAUAAAGUGAUUUAUUUACAGAGUUAGUGCUAGAAUUAAGUCAGCUUCAGCCUGUCUAUUUCGGCUCAGGAAUACAGAUAGAAAGAGUGCAGAGAUCACACUCGACGCCAUAACAACCUGGUGUGUUUAAGGUUGGUCAUUUAUGUGCCUAUAUUUUGAAAUUGUUGCCUUAAUUUUGUGUUCUUUUUCACCAUCCCCCAAUCAGGCUGAAGCAAAUGGUCAAAAGUCCACACAUACCUCAGUCUCAGCAAUUACAGGUCAACCAAAGCAGUAUUCUCUAAUGCAGUGGACUUGCAAGUACUGCACAUUUUCUGCUGAAAAGAGCCUACUUGCUUAAGCAUUACCGCUUAAAACAUGGAUACCACACUCGGACAUCCCUACUCCCAUGUCUUCAUAAGGACUGCCUCUGCACAUUUAAAUCUUUUAAUGCACUCAAAGUACACCUAUCGACAUGGCACUCUCAAAAAGAUGCAGGCAAAAGUGGAGAAACUGCAUUUGACCGUCAGUUGUGCAACUUUGUGGAGCCCUGCUCAGAAGCAGACUUCUUUACCCAUUUGCGAGGACAUCUUAAGCUGAGGCAAAUGGUUACUUGCCCAUAUCAAGACUAACUUUCAGAGCAGUAUUUAUUCGACCUUCACUGCACACAAAAGCAAAGAAAUGUGAAAUGUGUUUGAGCCAUAGUGUGGGUAGGACAUUUGUGUCUAAAUCAUUCAAUCCCAAUAAAAGUUGCUUUAAUAAAAAAAAAAAACUUAUUUUUAAUCAAAGAAAAAGAACCUUUUGCAAAAAUAUAUUUUUUUGAAAAUAUAUAUAUUUUUAAAUAUAUAUUUUUUUUAUUGACGUGUCACUUUUUUUUUAAAGGAAAAAGUUUAAAACUUUUUUUUUAAAGUGGAAAAAGUUUUGAACGCAUUUCUUUUUUUCUUUU